UCGUGCGCUCUUGUGCUGCGGCCUCUUGCACGGCUGCAUGCGAUUAACGGGCUGCAGUGUUUGAAGGGAGACCAACCUCCUUCCACGGAAGUGAGCAAGGCAGACCUUUGGUGACAUUCACACCCUUGAUUAUGCGAGCUGACAGUCGGGAAAGUUGGUUAGUGAUCCGGACACUGCUUCAGAGGGGAUCAGAUUGAUAAAGG